GGAGAGGUCGCAUAGCUGGUUGAUUGCACCGGUCUUGAAAACCGGAAGGGGACUUGUUCCCCUCGCGAGUUCGAAUCUCGCCCUCUCCG
rnacentral:tRNA from 1 species